rnacentral:rRNA from 1 species
AGCGAACGCUGGCGGCAUGCCUAACACAUGCAAGUCGCACGGGGGGGCCUCGGCCUCCCAGUGGCGGACGGGUGAGGAACGCGUAGGGACCUGUCGAGGGGUGGGGGAUAACCGCGGGAAACUGCGGCUAAUACCGCAUGACGCCGCGGCGUGACAGCCGGGGCCAAAGGCGAAAGCCGCCCGCCGAGGGGCCUGCGUCCGAUUAGCUGGUUGGCGGGGUAGCGGCCCACCAAGGCGUCGAUCGGUAGCUGGUCUGAGAGGGUGAUCAGCCACACCGGGACUGAGACACGGCCCGGACUCCUACGGGAGGCAGCAGUGGGGAAUAUUGGACAAUGGGCGCAAGCCUGAUCCAGCAAUGCCGCGUGGGUGAAGAAGGUCUUCGGAUUGUAAAGCCCUUUCGGCGGGGACGAUGGUGACGGUACCCGCAGAAGAAGCCCCGGCUAACUUCGUG